GACUUUGUAGCUCAGUGGUUUAGAGCACACGAUUGCAACAUUGUUCUGUUAUCGUGGGGUCCCGUGUUCAAACCACGGCAAGGUCU